rnacentral:snRNA from 1 species
AAGUUAAACUAAAAACAUGU